CUGGUGUGGGGUUGGAGUAGGGGGGACGGACAGCAUCAGGAGAUACACCUAAUGCUAAAUGACGAGUUAAUGGGUGCAGCAAACCAACAUGGCACAUGGAUACAUAUGUAACAAA